UGCGUAGGCUGUUUAGCAAGUUGGAUGUGAAAUACCCGGGCUUAACUUGGGAGCUGCAUUCAAAACUGCCAGACUUGAGUACAGGAGAGGGAAGCGGAAUUCCUAGUGUAGCGGUGAAAUGCGUAGAUAUUAGGAGGAACACCAGUGGCGAAGGCGGCUUUCUGGACUGUAACUGACGCUGAGGCACGAAAGCGUGGGGAGCAAACA
rnacentral:rRNA from 1 species